UUGAGACUUAUUUACAAUGGCUG
rnacentral:siRNA from 1 species